UACGUGGGGGGCAAGCGUUGUCCGGAUUUAUUGGGCGUAAAGAGCGUGUAGGCGGUUUGGUAGGUCCGCUGUGAAAACUCGAGGCUCAACCUCGAGACGCCGGUGGAAACCAUCAGGCUAGAGUCCGGAAGAGGAGAGUGGAAUUCCUGGUGUAGCGGUGAAAUGCGCAGAUAUCAGGAAGAACACCCGUGGCUAAGGCGGCUCUCUAGUACGGUACUGACGCUGAGACGCGAAAGCGUGGGGAGCGAACAGG
rnacentral:rRNA from 1 species